rnacentral:rRNA from 1 species
AUUAAAAACCAAUGCCCUUCGGGGCUCUCUGGUGAUUCAUAAUAACUUCUCGAAUCGCACGGCCUUGCGCCGGCGAUGGUUCAUUCAAAUUUCUGCCCUAUCAACUUUCGACGGCUGGGUCUUGGCCAGCCGUGGUGACAACGGGUAACGGAGGGUUAGGGCCCGACCCCGGAGAAGGAGCCUGAGAAACGGCUACUACAUCCAAGGAAGGCAGCAGGCGCGCAAAUUACCCAAUCCCGACACGGGGAGGUAGUGACAAUAAAUACUGAUACAGGGCUCUUUCGGGUCUUGUAAUUGGAAUGAGUACAAUUUAAAUCCCUUAACGAGGAACAAUUGGAGGGCAAGUCUGGUGCCAGCAGCCGCGGUAAUUCCAGCUCCAAUAGCGUAUAUUAAAGUUGUUGAGGUUAAAAAGCUCGUAGUUGAACCUUGGGCCUAGCCGGCCGGUCCGCCUCACCGCGUGCACUGGCUCGGCUGGGUCUUUCCUUCUGGAGAACCGCAUGCCCUUCACUGGGUGUGCC